rnacentral:misc_RNA from 1 species
CGCACAUUGCGCCCUCUGGUAUUCCGGGGGGCAUGCCUGUUCGAGCGUCAUUACAACCCUCAAGCUCUGCUUGAUGAUGGGUGCCACGUAACCGUGCGCCUUAAAAUCAGCGGCGGUGCUGCUCUGGCUUCCUGCGUAGUAGAUAAUCUCGCUACGGAGCCUGGCAGUACCUGCCGGAAUACCUCUCAAGGUUGACCUCGGAUCAGGUAGGGAUACCCGCUGAACUUAA